rnacentral:rRNA from 1 species
GAUGAACGCUAGCUACAGGCUUAACACAUGCAAGUCGAGGGGAAACGACAUCGAAAGCUUGCUUUUGAUGGGCGUCGACCGGCGCACGGGUGAGUAACGCGUAUCCAACCUGCCCACCUCUUGGGGAUAACCUUGCGAAAGUAAGACUAAUACCCAAUGACGUCUCUAGAAGACAUCUGAAAGAGAUUAAAGAUUUAUCGGUGAUGGAUGGGGAUGCGUCUGAUUAGCUUGUUGGCGGGGUAACGGCCCACCAAGGCGACGAUCAGUAGGGGUUCUGAGAGGAAGGUCCCCCACAUUGGAACUGAGACACGGUCCAAACUCCUACGGGAGGCAGCAGUGAGGAAUAUUGGUCAAUGGACGAGAGUCUGAACCAGCCAAGUAGCGUGCAGGAUGACGGCCCUAUGGGUUGUAAACUGCUUUUAUAAGGGAAUAAAGUGAGUCUCGUGAGACUUUUUGCAUGUACCUUAUGAAUAAGGACCGGCUAAUUCCGUG